rnacentral:rRNA from 1 species
GAUGAACGCUGGCGGCGUGCCUAACACAUGCAAGUCGAACGAACAGACGCGGCGCUUGCUCCUCUGACGUUAGCGGCGGACGGGUGAGUCACACGUGGAUCCCCUCCCUGUAAUACUGAGAUAUCUUCGGGAAACCGGCGCUAAUACCGGAGAAGAUAUUGAACCACAUGGUUCAAUAGUGAAAGACGGUUUUGCUGUCACGUAUCGCUGGUUCUGCGCCGCAUUGGCUAGUUGGUAAGGUAAAGGGUUACGAAGGCAAGGAUGCGUAGCCGACGUGAGAGGGGGGUCGGCCACACGGGAGCUGAGACACGGUCCAGACUCCUACGGGAGGCAGCAGUAGGGAAUCGUCCGCAAUGGGCGAAAGCAUGACGGAGCAACGGCGCGUGAGUUAUGAAGGUCUUGGGAUCGUAAAACUCGGUUACUAGGGAAGAACAAAUGUGUAAGGAACUAUGGACGGCUUGACGGUACUGAGUCAGAAAGCCACGGCUAACUACGUG